rnacentral:rRNA from 1 species
UACUAGAGUAGCACUCGCAUAUCAAUAAGCGGAGGAAAAGAAACUAACAAGGAUUCCCCUAGUAACGGCGAGUGAAGCGGGAAGAGCUCAAAUUUGAAAUCUUAAAGGGUUUCCCUUUACGAAUUGUAGUUUAAAGGAGUGUUUUCUGUUGAGGUUUUGGUAAAAGUUCUUUGGAAUAGGACAUCAUAGAGGGUGAGAAUCCCGUAUUUGACCUUUACUUUCAACUUUGUGAUACACUUUCAAAGAGUCGGAUUGUUUGGGAAUGCAGUCCAAAAUGGGUGGUAAAUUUCAUCUAAAGCUAAAUAUUGGCGAGAGACCGAUAGCGAACAAGUACCGUGAGGGAAAGACUGAAAAGAACUUUGAAAAGAGAGUUAAACAGUACGUGAAAUUGUCAAAAGGGAAGCGUUUGACACCAGUGUUGUUUUUCUGAAAAUCAAUUAAAGAACUGUUUAUGCUAAGUUGUUUAGACUUUAUCAGCUAACUGUUUAGUUUUGAGCUUUUCUUUAAUGCACUUUUCAGUUAACAAGUCAACAUCAAUUUCUUUUGCUGUAAAAAAGCUUGAGGAAGGUGGCUUGAGAUUCGUCUUAAGUGUUUAUAGCCUCUUGCCUAUGCAGUCGGAGAGAUUGAGGUCUGCAGCGUAGAUCCUUCGGGGCUAAAUGCAUUUGUGCUAAGUUAUAGCAUUUUAUAGACAACUUGUUGACUAUGAUUUGUCUUGUAGCUUACUCGCUUAUGUUAUUUUACCUACGCUUAGGAUGUUGAGCGCAUGUCUCUCUCU